rnacentral:rRNA from 1 species
UACGAAGGGUGCAAGCGUUACUCGGAAUUACCGGGCGUAAAGCGUGCGUAGGUGGUUUGUUAAGUCUGAUGUGAAAGCCCUGGGCUCAACCUGGGAACGGCAUUGGAAACUGGCUUACUAGAGUGCGGUAGAGGGGUGUGGAAUUCCCGGUGUAGCAGUGAAAUGCGUAGAUAUCGGGAGGAACAUCUGUGGCGAAGGCGACACCCUGGACCAGCACUGACACUGAGGCACGAAAGCGUGGGGAGCAAACAGG